AUCGCUUCUCAGCCUUUUGGCUAAGAUCAAGUGUAGAAUCAUGGGAAGGCGGGAGGCACAGCCUAGAGCAGUGAUGGCGAACCUUUUGAGCUCGGCGUGCCAGCAUUUUGAAAAACCCUAACUUAACUCUGGUGCCGUGUCACAUAUAGAAAUUUUUUGAUAUUUGCAACCAUAGUAAAACAAAGACUUAUAUUUUGGAUAUUUAUUUUAUAUAUUUAAAUGCCAUUUAACAAAGAAAAAUCAAC
rnacentral:snRNA from 1 species